GGGGAUUUAGCUCAGCGGUAGAGCGUUUGCCUAGGAAGCACAAGGCCUUGGGUUUGGUCCCCAGCUCCG
rnacentral:tRNA from 1 species